UACGUAGGGGGCAAGCGUUAUCCGGAUUUACUGGGUGUAAAGGGUGCGUAGGUGGCAUGGCAAGUCAGAAGUGAAAGCCCGGGGCUCAACCCCGCGGACUGCUUUUGAAACUGUCAGGCUGGAGUACAGGAGAGGUAAGCGGAAUUCCUAGUGUAGCGGUGAAAUGCGUAGAUAUUAGGAGGAACACCAGUGGCGAAGGCGGCUUACUGGACUGUAACUGACACUGAGGCACGAAAGCGUGGGGAGCAAACAGG
rnacentral:rRNA from 1 species